GAUGAACGCUGGCGGCGUGCCUAAUACAUGCAAGUCGAGCGAACAGACGAGAGUGCUUGCACUCUCUGACGUUAGCGGCGGACGGGUGAGUAACACGUGGGUAACCUACCUAUAAGACUGGGAUAACUUCGGGAAACCGGAGCUAAUACCGGAUAAUAUUUAGCUUCGCAUGAAGCAAUAGUGAAAGACGGUUCUGCUGUCACUUAUAGAUGGACCCGCGGUGUAUUAGCUAGUUGGUGAGGUAACGGCUUACCAAGGAAACGAUACAUAGCCGACCUGAGAGGGUGAUCGGCCACACUGGGACUGAGACACGGCCCAGACUCCUACGGGGGCAGCAGUAGGGAAUCUUCCGCAAUGGACGAAAGUCUGACGGAGCAAUGCCGCGUGAGUGAAGAAGGUUUUCGGAUCGUAAAACUCUGUUGUAAGGGAAGAACAAGUACGUUAGUAACUGAACGUACCUUGACGGUACCUUACCAGAAAGCCACGGCUAACUACGUG
rnacentral:rRNA from 1 species